AAUGGUUAAUAACUAAUUAUAAUUUUUAACACUUUGGGGCUAAAAUUAGAGUGAGGGGGUGGGCUUGUGGGUCUGUGCAAGGUAUAAGGACACGCAGCAGUGAAGGAAAGUUGGUGGGAUACAGAGCAGAAAGGUGGAGCCUGGGGGAGUUCCCAAGGUAUUGCCCCCUGGGAAGGUGUUACCCACAGCUGGAAAGCAUUUGUCUGUUUGCUGUGCACACACUGAAUGAAAUAGCAGAGUAGUACUAUGGAGCAGAAAUAAAGGGGAUCUCUGAAAACAGAACUGGCAUACUGAGGACUGUGCUGGGCCAAAAGCAAUGUUCAUUUCUGCAUAAACAUCACUGAAAAGAAUGAACUCAUCCUUGAUUGUGGAGCAGAGGAGCACUUCUGAGUGUGUCAGAGAGAAAAGUGAGGAAGCAGGACCAAGCUCCUGGGAGAGCGAGACAUGGAUUCAUGCUCCAGUAGGUCAAGUCUGGAUGACGGGAUGAACAAAUGGGUCCCAGACAUCCAGAACAGAGAGGAAUGACGGUUUUCUUUCCCGGCACACUGCACCUCUGUGCUUUCUGUGUGGAGAUCAGGCUGUCCCUCCGCCACCAGCCUGCCCCAGGGUGAUGCCGAUGCCCCAGCAGCAGGCCUCCCACCCAGCCAUCCUGCAGUCCCACCGGGCUCCGUGCAGGUGAACUCCUGCCCUCACCCUCCCAGCCUGUCCCUCCUGAGGAGCUGAGCACACCCGUGGCAGCACAUCAGCAGUGUCAGCAACCCCAGCAUGUCCCCCCAGUCCCAAUGUGGCCAUGGCUCUGCAGCUGUGCAGACCCCAGGCCCCCCCUGACAGGGAUGGACUGGGAGGGAAGGAGUUAGGCUCCUUUUGCAAGGUGUGAGGUUCAUUACUCAAAGCCCCUUCCACCAGCUAGCUGUUCCUUAGCUCAGGUCUCAGCUGUCACUCAGCGUGUCCAUGCAGCAUGCUUCACAGCUGGCAUCCCCAGAUGAAGAACCUUUCUCUGCCACACAACCAGAUCAUCCCCUUGUCCUUCCUUAUCCCUGCUGGCUCCUGGAGCCUGUCAGCCUCUGCUCUCCUUGUGCUGAGUGACAUUCUUUACUCCGGCUUUACACUAGCAGAAGGAAGCAGGGACAGUUUUCCAGCUCUCAGGUAGGAAGCUACUGUCAAACUCUACCAUUUCUAAUUGCUUUGCCUCCUGGACAGCCACAUUUCUCCUGACACCUGCAUCUUCGUGCAAAUACGGUCUGAGAGGACCAGGAUCAGACUUCUUCUUUCUGUCAUGUAUUCACCAGGCCCUUGCUUACCGGUAUCGGCUUCCUCCUCUCAGCUAGUUAGUGUCUUGUGUGUCUUCAGAAUUAAUGACUAGACAAACGUGUCCCGAGCACGAUAGGUACCGACUUAUUCCUGGCAUUUUGCAAGGAUUUUGUGACACAUCAGUACAAGCAGAGAAUGCAAGAUCUCCCUCCUUUCAGACAGGGUGAGACAUAUUUGGCACACUUAAUUUUGGGGAAUUCUGUCACUGAUCUUUUUAGUAGUACUCCUGAGUUUCCUGAGAGAUGUCUUAUAGAUUGUGUAUAUGAAAAGGGGGAUCUCUGGAUCCAGUGGGAGCCACAGUCCACAGCAUGACUGCUUGGGACAGCUGAACUGGAUGACCCUGGUGGCUCUUUCUGGAGCUGUCACUCUCUGUAUCUGUUUGCUUAGUCUUUAUAUUUUUGGAUCUUCUUUUUAUUUGCAUUAGUCAAGACUAAAAGGAUUGACAAGCAGGGCCUUGUGGUGGAAAAGCUUAAGUCAAUCUAACUGUGAUGGCGGCGAUGCCUCUGUCAAGUAAAUGUGAAUGCCAGAGAACAUUGUCUUUCUCCCUGACACUACUUAUUUGGACUAAGCCAAAAAUAUCCAUGAGCCAUGUACAUGUUU